rnacentral:rRNA from 1 species
GAUGAACGCUGGCGGCGUGCUUAACACAUGCAAGUCGAACGAAGCACUCUAUUUGAUUUUCUUCGGAGAUGAAGAUUUUGUGACUGAGUGGCGGACGGGUGAGUAACGCGUGGGUAACCUGCCUCAUACAGGGGGAUAACAGUUGGAAACGACUGCUAAUACCGCAUAAGCGCACGGUACCGCAUGGUACCGUGUGAAAAACUCCGGUGGUAUGAGAUGGACCCGCGUCUGAUUAGCUAGUUGGUGGGGUAACAGCCUACCAAGGCGACGAUCAGUAGCCGACCUGAGAGGGUGACCGGCCACAUUGGGACUGAGACACGGCCCAAACUCCUACGGGAGGCAGCAGUGGGGAAUAUUGCACAAUGGGGGAAACCCUGAUGCAGCGACGCCGCGUGAACGAAGAAGUAUUUCGGUAUGUAAAGUUCUAUCAGCAGGGAAGAUAAUGACGGUACCUGACUAAGAAGCAC